rnacentral:rRNA from 1 species
GACGAACGCUGGCGGCGUGCUUAGCACAUGCAAGUCGAACGGUAAGGCCCCUUCGGGGGUACACGAGUGGCGAACGGGUGAGUAACACGUGAGCAACCUGCCCUUGACUCUGGAAUAACAGUUGGAAACAGCUGCUAAUACUGGAUAUUCAUCGUCUCCUUCCUGGGGGGUGGUGGAAAGCUCCGGCGGUCAGGGAUGGGCUCGCGGCCUAUCAGCUUGUUGGUGAGGUAAUGGCUCACCAAGGCUUCGACGGGUAGCCGGCCUGAGAGGGCGACCGGCCACACUGGGACUGAGAUACGGCCCAGACUCCUACGGGAGGCAGCAGUGGGGAAUAUUGCACAAUGGGCGCAAGCCUGAUGCAGCAACGCCGCGUGCGGGAUGACGGCCUUCGGGUUGUAAACCGCUUUCAGUAGGGACGAAGGGUGACUGACGGUACCUACAGAAGAAGGACCGGCUAACUACGUG